rnacentral:rRNA from 1 species
GUCGUGAGGCAUGCUGGAGGUAUCAGAAGUGCGAAUGCUGACAUAAGUAACGAUAAAGCGGGUGAAAAGCCCGCUCGCCGGAAGACCAAGGGUUCCUGUCCAACGUUAAUCGGGGCAGGGUGAGUCGACCCCUAAGGCGAGGCCGAAAGGCGUAGUCGAUGGGAAACGGGUUAAUAUUCCCGUACUUGGUGUUACUGCGAAGGGGGGACGGAGAAGGCUAUGUUGGCCGGGCGACGGUUGUCCCGGUUUAAGCGUGUAGGUGUGUGUUCCAGGUAAAUCCGGUUCACUUUAACACUGAGGCGUGACGACGAGGCACUACGGUGCUGAAGCAACAAAUGCCCUGCUUCCAGGAAAAGCCUCUAAGCAUCAGGUAACAUCAAAUCGUACCCCAAACCGACACAGGUGGUCAGGUAGAGAAUACCAAGGCGCUUGAGAGAACUCGGGUGAAGGAACUAGGCAAAAUGGUGCCGUAACUUCGGGAGAAGGCACGCUGACACGUAGGUGAAGUGAUUUACUCAUGGAGCUGAAGUCAGUCGAAGAUACCAGCUGGCUGCAACUGUUUAUUAAAAACACAGCACUGUGCAAACACGAAAGUGGACGUAUACGGUGUGACGCCUGCCCGGUGCCGGAAGGUUAAUUGAUGGGGUCAGCGCAAGCGAAGCUCCUGAUCGAAGCCCCGGUAAACGGCGGCCGUAACUAUAACGGUCCUAAGGUAGCGAAAUUCCUUGUCGGGUAAGUUCCGACCUGCACGAAUGGCGUAAUGAUGGCCAGGCUGUCUCCACCCGAGACUCAGUGAAAUUGAACUCGCUGUGAAGAUGCAGUGUACCCGCGGCAAGACGGAAAGACCCCGUGAACCUUUACUAUAGCUUGACACUGAACAUUGAGCCUUGAUGUGUAGGAUAGGUGGGAGGCUUUGAAGCGUGGACGCCAGUCUGCGUGGAGCCGACCUUGAAAUACCACCCUUUAAUGUUUGAUGUUCUAACGUGGACCCGUGAUCCGGGUUGCGGACAGUGUCUGGUGGGUAGUUUGACUGGGGCGGUCUCCUCCUAAAGAGUAACGGAGGAGCACGAAGGUUGGCUAAUCCUGGUCGGACAUCAGGAGGUUAGUGCAAUGGCAUAAGCCAGCUUGACUGCGAGCGUGACGGCGCGAGCAGGUGCGAAAGCAGGUCAUAGUGAUCCGGUGGUUCUGAAUGGAAGGGCCAUCGCUCAACGGAUAAAAGGUACUCCGGGGAUAACAGGCUGAUACCGCCCAAGAGUUCAUAUCGACGGCGGUGUUUGGCACCUCGAUGUCGGCUCAUCACAUCCUGGGGCUGAAGUAGGUCCCAAGGGUAUGGCUGUUCGCCAUUUAAAGUGGUACGCGAGCUGGGUUUAGAACGUCGUGAGACAGUUCGGUCCCUAUCUGCCGUGGGCGCUGGAGAACUGAGGGGGGCUGCUCCUAGUACGAGAGGACCGGAGUGGACGCAUCACUGGUGUUCGGGUUGUCAUGCCAAUGGCACUGCCCGGUAGCUAAAUGCGGAAGAGAUAAGUGCUGAAAGCAUCUAAGCACGAAACUUGCCCCGAG